GGGGGGCUCAUCCUCUCCCCUUCCUUUCGCACUUCCCUCCAUGUGACUCUCCACGAUAUUACGUUCUGAGUGUACUUUCUCCUAAGAUUGGCUUCUUGUCCUUGGCUUGGCUUUAUUGAAGUUUGAGGCUAUGCUUGUGGCCACAGUGGGUUUGGGUUACGGGCUGCACGCUCGUGAUAGCCGUCUUACCUCUGGUGACAUGGCCUCAUUCAAAAUCCUGGAGACAGGGCGGUGGCUCAGCCUCCAGUGUGGGGUUUUUGAUGGGCACUAUGGUGUUGUGGUGUAAUAGCAACUAGAACCUGAGCAAUAGUAAUUAUAUGGUGCUCCAGGCCCUCUCCCAAACCCCAGCUGGGCUGAUAGAAAUGGGGUGCAGAGUCUGAGCUGUGGGCGGAGGCAGAGCCCCGAGAGUCUGUGAGACGGGCUCAGGGCUGCAGUGUCCCGCAGGGAGCCUGAGCAUGGCCUCUCCCAUCGGGCCAUCAGCUCUGUCCUGAGGCUCCGAGCAGGGCUGUGCCCAGGUCUGGAAUCCAACCCCGCUGUGACGACCUCCUGUGUACAUACAUUUUCCCCAAAGUGUGUGGGUCGCCUCGGGGCCGUCUGUCCUCCCGGGACCGGCGGGUGCCCCCGACUCAGGAAGGCCAGGAGCAAAGCAGGAGCCACUCGGGGUCCGCCUUGCACCUGACCAUCCCUGGUGCCAUGGUGAGCAGUGCCGGUCCUUCUGGUUCCGGAAGGCCUGGAGCAGGUGACAGGGGCCCAGCAACCUUCCUCCCCGGCCCACAUGCCCCCGGCUGAGCGUCUGCUGCUUCCAGAGCCCCCUGCAGAGGGCAUUGGCGGCCGUGGACCAGGCCCUCACUUCCUGAGACAUAACUCCAGGCCAUGAAGCAUGGCUUAGUUCACCCAACUUGAGGCCCUUGGCAGUGACCCUGAGGGAACUGGGGUGCUCUGAUGGUGAUCACAGGGCAGCGCCAACCUCGGCCCUGGGGUGCUCUGGUGGUGAUCAUGGGGGAGCACCCACCUGGGCCCUGGGGUUCACUGAUGGUGAUCACAUGGCAGGACCCACCUGGGCCCUGGGGUGAUCUGAUGGUGAUCACAGGGAAUUGCCCACCUGGGCCAAGGAGUGCAAUGGUGUUUAUCAUGGGGCAGUGUCCAUCUGGGCCCUGGGAUGCUCUGGUGUUGCUCAUGGGGCGGCGCCCACCUGGGCCCUAAAUUCACAAGUGGUGAUCCCAGGACAGUGCCCCCCUGGGCCCUGAGUUCACUGGUGGUGAUCACACAGCCAUGGCCAUAAUCAGGCCUGGGAGUCUGGCUGGGAUUGUGGUGUUUCUGUGGGGUAGAUGCUGCUCUGUGUCUGUCCCAGUUCCUGACCGCUAGGGCAUCAGCAUGGUGCCAGCAUAACUGGCUGGGUGCCCAUGGGGGCAGGGGCUGGAGACUGGCCCCUUGCUGGGACCCCUCCCCUGCCAGCCCAUGGGCCCAGAGAGUCCUAGUCCUGGGGGCUGCUUCUCUGCAACCUCUGCCUUGGUGGCCGUCAGUGUCCCCACCCUAGAGGCCUUGGUGAUGCCAGGUCAUCUUAGGGCUUUCUCCAAGAUCUGCUGCAUGUCUUCCUGAGUCAGUUGUGUUAACUUUUACAGCCAGAAAAAGCAUGCUCACUGGUGACAUCAAGGAUGUACAAACACAUUCUAUAUCUGCCAGGUCCUCCCAGCAUACACCUGGCUGCAGGUCUCGCCUGAGCCAGGGCCCAGAUUCUGGCCUGCUCUUCACGGGUGCAGCAAGACCCCUUUCAAGACCGCAUGACUGUCUUGCCAGGUCAAGUCAAAGGCUAUGUACGGUGUCUUCGAGGGGCAGGCAGCCCUGAGGACUCUUAACUGCCUGCACGUACUAGCUGUCCCGGUCCGCAGCUGGGAGGGAAAAAGAAAGGAGGAAGCCUCACCCAUCAGGUGGCCGGUACUAAGACUCGUGGCGAGGGGAAGACAAAGGAGAGGUUAUCGGCAGGGAUGCGCUUGG
rnacentral:lncRNA from 9 species